AGACAGACUCGAGCGCGGGGGCUCAGCGGGUAUUGUUAUGCCCGUGCACUCCCCCGCGCCCGGGCCAGCAUCAGUUUUGGCGGCCGGUCAAAGGCCCUUGGAAUGUAUCGUCCUCCGGGACGUCUUAUAGCCAAGGGUGCAAUGCGGCCAGCCGGGACUGAGGAACGCGCUUCGGCACGGAUGCUGGCGUAAUGGCUGUAAGCGGCCCGUCUUGA
rnacentral:rRNA from 1 species